rnacentral:rRNA from 1 species
GUUAAGCGACUAAGCGUACACGGUGGAUGCCCUGGCAGUCAGAGGCGAUGAAGGACGUGCUAAUCUGCGAUAAGCGUCGGUAAGGUGAUAUGAACCGUUAUAACCGGCGAUUUCCGAAUGGGGAAACCCAGUGUGUUUCGACACACUAUCAUUAACUGAAUCCAUAGGUUAAUGAGGCGAACCGGGGGAACUGAAACAUCUAAGUACCCCGAGGAAAAGAAAUCAACCGAGAUUCCCCCAGUAGCGGCGAGCGAACGGGGAGCAGCCCAGAGCCUGAAUCAGUGUGUGUGUUAGUGGAAGCGUCUGGAAAGGCGCGCGAUACAGGGUGACAGCCCCGUACACAAAAAUGCACAUGCUGUGAGCUCGAUGAGUAGGGCGGGACACGUGGUAUCCUGUCUGAAUAUGGGGGGACCAUCCUCCAAGGCUAAAUACUCCUGACUGACCGAUAGUGAACCAGUACCGUGAGGGAAAGGCGAAAAGAACCCCGGCGAGGGGAGUGAAAAAGAACCUGAAACCGUGUACGUACAAGCAGUGGGAGCACGCUUAGGCGUGUGACUGCGUACCUUUUGUAUAAUGGGUCAGCGACUUAUAUUCUGUAGCAAGGUUAACCGAAUAGGGGAGCCGAAGGGAAACCGAGUCUUAACUGGGCGUUAAGUUGCAGGGUAUAGACCCGAAACCCGGUGAUCUAGCCAUGGGCAGGUUGAAGGUUGGGUAA